rnacentral:rRNA from 1 species
UACGUAGGGUGCAAGCGUUGUCCGGAAUUAUUGGGCGUAAAGAGCUCGUAGGCGGUUUUGUUGCGUCGGCUGUGAAAUCCCGAGGCUCAACCUCGGGUCUGCAUCAUACGAGCAAACUAGAGUGUUUGCAGGGGGAGACUGGAAUUCCUGGUGUAGCGGUGAAAAUGCGCAGAUAUCAGGGAGGGAAACACCCGGGUGGGCGAAAGGGCGGGGGUCUCUGGGG